rnacentral:rRNA from 1 species
AUUGAACGCUGGCGGAAUGCUUUACACAUGCAAGUCGAACGGCAGCACGGACUUCGGUCUGGUGGCGAGUGGCGAACGGGUGAGUAAUGUAUCGGAACGUGCCCAGUCGUGGGGGAUAACGUAGUGAAAAUUACGCUAAUACCGCAUACGAUCUAUGGAUGAAAGCGGGGGAUCGCAAGACCUCGCGCGAUUGGAGCGGCCGAUAUCAGAUUAGGUAGUUGGUGGGGUAAAGGCCCACCAAGCAAACGAUCUGUAGCUGGUCUGAGAGGACGACCAGCAACACUGGAACUGAGACACGGUCCAGACUCCUACGGGAGGCAGCAGUGGGGAAUUUUGGACAGUGGGCGAAAGCCUGAUCCAGCCAUUCCGCGUGCAGGAUGAAGGCCCUCGGGUUGUAAACUGCUUUUGUACAGAACGAAAAGGUUUCUACUAAUACUAGGAGCUCAUGACGGUACUGUAAGAAUAAGCACCGGCUAACUACGUGCCAGCAGCCGCCGUAA